AGUCAUACGCUCGAGCCAGCCGGAUCGUUUUGCCUGUGCUCUGCAAAGUGAUUUUCCCAAGUGUUUUUUUCCGCUAUUAUACGGUUUUACACCGGGUUUUUUUCACGCGCGUAUACCUCCCGACCGGGAAGCACCGUGUCCUGGCCGAGUCCUCGACACGGCUGUAUAGAUCCUGCUCCAAAUCCAGGACAAGAUUUGGCAUCGUGGUUGGAUUUCGGCAUCAAUACAAACCAACAACAACAACCUUGCUGUGGGCCACGCUUUGUUCGACGGUCCCAUUGAGUCAGCAGAGAGCAAAGGCGAACCGCAUUGAUGCUACAACGGUGAAGCCGAGUAGAAGCCGUACCUACAGUGCAGUUGAUAGCCGCCUGCCGUAGCAAAGGAAUAGAAGAUUCAUUCUUCUGAGUGAAAUAUUGUUUCCACCCAUAACACGACCGUAUGGAAGAAAAUGACACAGGCGGGGGAGAUACCCAAUUUGUGAUCUCCGACAAUGAGUCCACACACUUAAAAUAAAUCGCCGAAUUCGGUAAAAUUUUACCGAAAUCUCAACAGCUGAACUGUUCGGUAAAUAAUUUAACUGAUUUUCGGUGAUUUUGACAGUUGAGCAAUGGAGAAAAUUACAGAAAAUCUGUAAAAUAAAUUACCGAACAGUUCAGCUGUUGAGAUUUCGGUAAAAUUUACCGAAUACGGUGAAAUGAGGUAAGUGUGCAUACACGUAAAAAAAUAACCUUAUAUGUUAUGGCAAAAAACCAUUCGAAAAUACUUAUGCUCUUCAUUAUGCCACCUAAUGAAUGAUCCCAUAUCAAAAAGCUAAUAACAUUCAUAGGUUAAUGAAAAGUAUAAGUUUCCGAAUGUAUGUGACUAAUGCGAUGUAUAAGUUUUUUCUUAUACAUGCCAUUAAGCGCCUGCUUUGGCAAAAAAGUAUUAGAAAUAUUAAUAAUAAACAACAUUAAAUUUUUUUACGUGUAGGCAAUUCUCCAUCCUAUGAGAAUUUGAUCGAACAUCUUUUCACAUCAUCGGAGACCAAUCUAGAUCAACAAACAACAUCUCCGCUAUCUUCAGUAGUGCAGCAAAACGGUAUCCAACCAUUGACGAAUACAUAGACGGAGGGGUGGCCAUUUUUCCGGGCACCACUAUAUACCCCUGGGGAGUGACGGAUUACAAUUAUUACAAUCACUCGACCAUUGAGAAGCCCCUCAAUUCGAACCACCAACAACUUUUUCGGUUGUUCUUUUUUAUUUAUUUAAAGGUUAUUUAAACGAGGUCGUGAAAAGUGGCAUGUUCAUUUUUGGAUGUUUACCAAGUAUUUGCUCAACCGGUACUUGCUGCGGGUUCAAAACGUUGAAACGUAUCCAGAGUCGUCUCCACAAAAGUGCUUUGGAAAUGAAAAUAUGUGUCCUGCUGUACGCUCCUGAUAGAGCUGGUGAAACCGACUUGGUGAAAAAUCAGGAAUCACAUCAACGACGACGGAACGAUUCACAACUAAGCGGGGACCAGAUCGCUGUCGUGAUUGAUUGCCCUCCAGGAAAGUUUGAGAAAAAAGGCGAGAAAUUUUCUCCACAUUUAACUGCUGCCGUAGCUUCAUUGCUUCACCUUUUGGAAUCUUUGGUCGCUCACAGGAACCAUCCAAGAGGAUGUAAGACUUCUGCAUCUAAUUAUCAGGACACAGCCGCUUUUUGCGUGUGUGUUAUUAUUUAAAAGAGGACGAAUCUGGACGAAUGAGGAGACAAACUAGUACCGGACGAAGAGAGGAGCACUUUAGGUGAAUGAAAAUUUGGU